GGCCUAGUAGCUCAGCUGGUAGAGCAUACGCGUACAAAGCAUAGGCGAAUCCAUGCAUGGGUUCGAAUCCCACCAAAGCUA
rnacentral:tRNA from 1 species